CAGUUGUCGUGCCAACGGCAUCGCUGAGUAGCUAAGUCUGGCAAGGAUAACCGCUGAAAGCAUCUAAGUGGGAAGCCUGCCUCAAGAUUAGAUCCCCCACCUCUUAAUGAGGGUAAGUGCGCUGGAAGACUACCAGCUUGAUAGGCGAGGCGUGUACGCGCAGUAAUGCGUUUAGCGGACUCGUACUAAUGCACGAGGGCUUUCUACGC
rnacentral:rRNA from 1 species